rnacentral:rRNA from 1 species
GACGAACGCUGGCGGCGUGCUUAACACAUGCAAGUCGAACGGAAAGGCCCUGCUUUUGUGGGGUGCUCGAGUGGCGAACGGGUGAGUAACACGUGAGUAACCUGCCCUUGACUUUGGGAUAACUUCAGGAAACUGGGGCUAAUACCGGAUAGGAGCUCCUGCUGCAUGGUGGGGGUUGGAAAGUUUCGGCGGUUGGGGAUGGACUCGCGGCUUAUCAGCUUGGUGGUGGGGUAGUGGCUUACCAAGGCUUUGACGGGUAGCCGGCCUGAGAGGGUGACCGGCCACAUGGGGACUGAGAGACGGCCCAGAAUCCUACGGGAGGCAGCAGGGGGGAAUAUGGCACAAUGGGCGGAAGCCUGAUGCAGCAACGCCGCGUGCGGGAUGACGGCCUUCGGGUUGUAAACCGCUGUCGCCUGUGACGAAGCGUGAGUGACGGUAAUGGGUAAAGAAGCACCGGCUAACUACGUG